AUGUCAAGACCAGGUAAGGUUCUUCGCGUUGCAUCGAAUUAAACCACAUGCUCCACCGCUUGUGCGGGCCCCCGUCAAUACAUUUGAGUUUUAACCUUGCGGCCGUACUCCCCAGGCGGUCUACUUAUUGCGUUAGCUGCGUCACUAAGUCCUCAAGGGACCCAACGACUAGUAGACAUCGUUUACGGUGUGGACUACCAGGGUAUCUAAUCCUGUUUGCUACCCACGCUUUCGAGCCUCAGUGUCAGUAUUAUGCCAGAAGGCUGCCUUCGCCAUCGGUAUUCCUCCAGAUCUCUACGCAUUUCACCGCUACACCUGGAAUUCUACCUCCCUCUCACAUACUCUAGCUCAACAGUAUCAGAUGCAGUUCCCAGGUUAAGCCCGGGGAUUUCACAUCUGACUUAUCGAGCCACCUACGCUCCCUUUACGCCCAGUAAUUCCGAUUAACGCUUGCACCCUCUGUAUUACCGCGGCUGCUGGCACAGAGUUAGC
rnacentral:rRNA from 1 species